rnacentral:rRNA from 1 species
CAGGACGAACGCUGGCGGCGUGCUUAACACAUGCAAGUCGAACGAUGAUGCCCAGCUUGCUGGGCGGAUUAGUGGCGAAMGGGUGAGUAAUACGUGAGUAACCUGCCCUUGACUCUGGGAUAAGCCUGGGAAACUGGGUCUAAUACUGGAUACUACCUCUUCCCGCAUGGNNGGGUGNGNGGAAAGGGUUUUACUGGUUUUGGAUGGGCUCACGGCCUAUCAGCUUGUUGGUGGGGUAAUGGCUCACCAAGGCGACGACGGGUAGCCGGCCUGAGAGGGUGACCGGCCACACUGGGACUGAGACACGGCCCAGAC